AGAGCGAACGCUGGCGGCAGGCUUAACACAUGCAAGUCGAGCGGGCGUAGCAAUACGUCAGCGGCAGACGGGUGAGUAGCGCGUGGGAACAUACCUUUUGGUUCGGAACAACACAGGGAAACUUGUGCUAAUACCGGAUAAGCCCUUACGGGGAAAGAUUUAUCGCCGAAAGAUUGGCCCGCGUCUGAUUAGCUAGUUGGUGAGGUAAUGGCUCACCAAGGCGACGAUCAGUAGCUGGUCUGAGAGGAUGAUCAGCCACAUUGGGACUGAGACACGGCCCAAACUCCUACGGGAGGCAGCAGUGGGGAAUAUUGGACAAUGGGCGCAAGCCUGAUCCAGCCAUGCCGCGUGAGUGAUGAAGGCCUAGGGUUGUAAAGCUCUUUGUGCGGGAAGAUAAUGACGGUACCGCAAGAAUAAGCCCGGCUAACUUCGCGCCAGCAGCCGC
rnacentral:rRNA from 1 species